UACGUAGGGGGCAAGCGUUGUCCGGAAUCAUUGGGCGUAAAGAGCGUGUAGGCGGCCCGAUAAGUCCGCUGUAAAAGUCAAAGGCUCAACCUUUGAAUGUCAGUGGAUACUGCCGGGCUAGAGUCCGGAAGAGGCGAGUGGAACUCCUGGUGUAGCGGUGGAAUGCGCAGAUAUCAGGAAGAACACCAACGGCGAAGGCAGCUCGCUGGGACGGUACUGACGCUGAGACGCGAAAGCGUGGGGAGCGAACAGG
rnacentral:rRNA from 1 species